UUCGUAGUCGGGAUAUUAAGUCAGUUGUGAAAUCCUACAGCUUAACUGUAGAACUGCCAUUGAUACUGAUAUUCUUGAAUUCACCUGAAGUAGGCGGAACAUGACAUGUAGCGGUGAAAUGCUUAGAUAUGUCAUAGAACACCGAUUGCGAAGGCAGCUUACUAAAGUGAUAUUGACGCUAAGGAACGAAAGCGUGGGGAGCGAACAGGAUUAGAUACCCUGGUAGUCC
rnacentral:rRNA from 1 species